rnacentral:rRNA from 1 species
AUUGAACGCUGGCGGCAGGCCUAACACAUGCAAGUCGAACGAGUGGCGGACGGGUGAGUACUGUCUGGGAAACUGCCCGAUGUAGGGGUAUAACUACUGGAAACGGUAGCUAAUAACGCAUACCAUCGUAUGUGCCCAGAUGGGAUUAUCUAGCAGGUGGGGUAACGUCUCACCUAGGCGACGAUCCUCAGCUGGUCUGAGAGGAUGACCAGCAACACGGGAACUGAGACACGGUCCAGACUCCUACGGGAGGAAGCAGUGGGAAAUAUUGCACAAGGGGCGAAAGCCUGAUGCAGCCAUGCCGCGUGUAUGAAGAAGGCCGUCGGGUUGUAAAGUACUUGCAGCGAGGAGGCGUUACUCGCAGAAGAAGCACCGGCUAACUCCGUGCCAGCCGCCGCGGUAAUAC